UUUAUUACAACACUGACAUACACACAAAAAAAUGUUGGGUUAUUUUUUUAACCCAACAGCUGGGUUGAGACUGUUGGGUAGUUUAAUUGGGUUGUUUUCAUUAAGUUGGGUAAUCUAAGAACCCAACUUGCCGGGUUAUUGUUGUUGGUAGUUGAGUUAUUAGCUGUUGGGUUGAAUUUCCCAUUAUACUGUGUUGGGUCAUUUGGGACUACCCAACAUGUUGGGUCGAUGUUCGCGCAUGCGCGACAAACAGUACCGUUACCCCACCGGUUGCAGCCGUUUGGCCAGAGUCCUGGGUGAAGGGAAGGAGAAGCCCGAGAAUAUCUUACCGGAGCGACACUACUUUACACAGCGAGGUCGGAAUCAACAUGGUUGAAUACUUGGACCAGGCAAAAACAUCAAGAUCCUGCCCCUAUGUCCUCCUGCUGGACAGCGGGACGCAGUAUUCCCAAGCGUUCUCUGUUAUCUCGGGGAGGACAAAACACCCCUUUUUUUCUGGAGAUAUUGUGUUUAGAUAGUAUAGUUUUUUUGUUCUGAAAAGAUUAAGUACCUGUUCCCCUGUUUUUAGAUAGAAAUUACUUAGUGUUAUGAUAAGAUAUAUGUGUAUUACAAUUUAAGAUAUUUAUAAGAAAAUAUCCAAUGUUUUAAAAUAUUUAAUGUUAAUAAGUUUGUGGUAUUUAUUGUGUUAAGUAUUCACUGUUCUCUAUUUUAAUAGAAAAUUU